rnacentral:lncRNA from 1 species
AUGCUGAGAGCGGGCAGCGGGGCCGUCGGGGGGCACGCAGGGAGAUCCCCCGGCUACUGCUGGCCACGGGGCCUCGCUCGCCAUCCCCGGCCGGUUUUUGGGCUUGGAGGAGCCGAGCCGAGCCGAGCCGGGCGGGAGGAGCGCGGCAGCCCCGGCCCCUCCCCGCAGCCCGCCUCCGAGCCGUGCCGAGCCGUGCUGAACCGUGCUGAACCGUACCCAGCCGUGCCGGGAGAGCGGGUCGGGCGCUUUCAGGUGGGUCCGGGGGCUUUCCUCGGGGUGGUCGGGGGGGAGAGGCCGAGCCCCCGCUGCCCUGCCCCUGCCCCGGUGCUGCCGGCCCCCGGGGGGCUGCGGGGACGCUUUGCGUGCUUGCGGGACGCGGGGCCGGUCAGCCCGCAGCCGGGGAACUGCGGGUCCCCGAGCAAGCCGCGGUGCUUCAGGCUGGCUGGAAGGAGCAGGGGGAGGAAAGGUUGCAAACACAGAGGGGCUGUGGGGAUGCCACGCUCCCGCACCGUUUGCUCAGGGUGGGAUGCCCGCCAGGGCCAGUGCGUUUCGCCCCGUCUGGGCUCUUCUGGGGGUUGCUGGAGCCAAGACCUGGGUUUUCCACUGCCCCACAGCUGCUCGGAGGAGACCUGGGAAACUGGAUCCCUGGUAACGAGCAGCCGUCGCCCAGACGCAGCCAGUGUUGAGUUGCAGCCGGCAUCUCUUUUACGUGUCGUGUCCUUCGUGUGCCAGCCUCACGGCAUCGCCUCACCCGCUCGGUGCCAGGGCGCUGCGGACGAGGCGAGCCUCGUGGCAACCCGCAUGGCCCUGGCCCUGCGUGGGGCGGCUGCUUCGCCCAGCAGAGCGAGGGACCGGGGCGUUCAUCUCCUUCAGCGGGGCGAGCCGGGGGCAGCUCCUCCAGCUCCCACAGCCUUGGCCCCGGCCUCGCUCCCAGGGGGGAAAUAUCCAGAACCAGGUCACCGUAGACCGUUCUGCCUCCUCUUUCAGGGACACGGACUGUCGGCUGGUUUCCAAAGAUUUAAAAGGGGGGAAAAAAUACAAAUAUAA